GAUGAAGAACGCAGCGAAAUGCGAUAAGUAAUGUGAAUUGCAGAAUUCAGUGAAUCAUCGAAUCUUUGAACGCAACUUGCGCCCUUUGGUAUUCCGAAGGGCAUGCCUGUUUGAGUGUCAUUUCAACCCUCAAGCCCCGCUUGGUGUUGGGCCCCGCCCGCUGUGGCCGGCCCUAAAGACAGUGGCGGCGCCGCCUGGCCCUGAGCGUAGUACAUCUCUCGCUCCAGGGUCCGGUGGCCGCCUGCCAGAACCCCCCAACUCUGUGGUUGACCUCGGAUCAGGUAGGGAUACCCGCUGAACUUAAGCAUAUCAAUAAGCGGAGGA
rnacentral:misc_RNA from 1 species